GAGAGUUAAAUAGUACGUGAAAUUGUUGAAAGGGAAACGAUUGAAGUCAGUCAUGCUAGUGAAAAAUCAGUUUGACGGGUUUUGAGUUCGGGAGUAGAGGCAGGGUCAAACCGUUUCUCUUUUGAACUUGGGAUUUGUUAGAUGUACUUUUUCUUUGGCAGGUCAGCGUCGAUUUCGGAGGUUGUAAAAUACUUGGGGGAAAGUAACUCUGCUUCGGGAGAGUAUUAUAGACCCUGAGGGAUGCAGCCUGCGGGAUCGAGGAUUGCAGCAAAUGCCUUUGGCUUGUCGCCUAUCUCUGGUCGUUACCUCUCUUGUGACAACAUUCUUGCCACCGGAGAGUACUAAUGCCCAUUACUUAGAGCGAUCAAAAAUUUUGCUAAGGAUGCUGACGUAAUGGCUUUAAACGA
rnacentral:rRNA from 1 species